ensembl:lncRNA
CGAGGUGUUUCUGUUUCCAGAAAGCUCUUUGACCGGAUGAGGAAAUUUUAUAACAGUGUACGAGAGCCAUGCUCUUCCUUUUAAUCUAGUUACAUAGCAAGCAGGCGUUCUCACGUUCUAGUGAAUGGUGCGUAGUGCUUAAGAUGUGAGGAGCACACAGAAGGAGCACAGUUGUUUCUCAAAGUUCCAAUCUCUAAGAACAAACCAACAGCCUACCCAAGGAAUGGAUGAAUCAUAGCCCGUGUGGAUGGUUUUCCGUUUUCCCUCUGGCUCUCCUGCGUGUGGCCUCAGACUAGAUUCCUGCCGUCACGUGGGUUUCACUGGGAAGGCUCAGAGGAGUAUGGGUGAAGGUUUGUCUACAGGACCAUGCACACCCCACCAAUGUCUACACCACUGAGGAAAACAUCAACUGCAUGUAACUGCAGAUAAACCUCACGGGGAGCUGCAGCCUCAUGAGACCCUCCCCUUCCUCAACGAAGGC